rnacentral:rRNA from 1 species
UACAGGGGGGGCAAGCGUUGUUCGGAAUUACUGGGCGUAAAGGGUUCGUAGGUGGCCAACUAAGUCAGACGUGAAAUCCCUCGGCUUAACCGGGGAACUGCGUCUGAUACUGGAUGGCUAGAGGUUGGGAGAGGGAUGCGGAAUUCCAGGUGUAGCGGUGAAAUGCGCAGAUAUCAGGAGGAACACCGAUGGCGAAGGCAGGUCUCUGGGCCACUACUGACGCUGAGAAGCGAAAGCAUGGGGAGCGAACAGG